rnacentral:rRNA from 1 species
GACGAACGCUGGCGGCGUGCCUAAUACAUGCAAGUCGAGCGGACAGAAGGGAGCUUGCUCCCGGAAGUUAGCGGCGGACGGGUGAGUAACACGUGGGCAACCUACCCUGUAGAUCGGGAUAACAUCGAGAAAUCGGUGCUAAUACCGGAUAAUCAUUUGAAGUGCAUGCUUCGAAUGUAAAAGAUGGCUCCGGCUAUCACUACGGGAUGGGCCCGCGGCGCAUUAGCUGGUUGGUAAGGUAAUGGCUUACCAAGGCAACGAUGCGUAGCCGACCUGGGAGGGUGAUCGGCCACACUGGGACUGAGACACGGCCCAGACUCCUACGGGAGGCAGCAGUAGGGAAUCUUCCGCAAUGGACGAAAGUCUGACGGAGCAACGCCGCGUGAGUGAUGAAGGUUUUCGGAUCGUAAAGCUCUGUUGUUAGGGAAGAACAAGUGCCGUUUGAAUAAGGCGGCACCUUGACGGUACCUAACCAGAAAGCCACGGCUAACUACGUGCCAGCAGCCGCAGUAACAC